UGUGGAGUCAAAGUGGCAUAUUCAGGGAUUUCCUCUCGAUCUGUGUCUCAAAUACUCCCAAAUAAACCCAAAGACGAACGGCAUCCUGUUUAAUAAAUCAUAUUACAACAGAUGACUUGUGUUCGUGUACAAUU
rnacentral:snoRNA from 1 species